AGAGUUUGAUCAUGGCUCAGAUUGAACGCUGGCGGUAGGCUUAACACAUGCAAGUCGAGCGGAAACGAAGAAAAGCUUGCUUUUCAGGCGUCGAGCGGCGGACGGGUGAGUAACGCGUAGGAAUCUGCCUAGUAGUGGGGGACAACCUGUGGAAACGCAGGCUAAUACCGCAUAAUCCCUGAGGGGGAAAGGAGGGGAUCUUCGGACCUUUCGCUAUUAGAUGAGCCUGCGUGAGAUUAGCUAGUUGGUGAGGUAAAGGCUCACCAAGGCGACGAUCUCUAGCUGGUCUGAGAGGAUGAUCAGCCACACUGGGACUGAGACACGGCCCAGACUCCUACGGGAGGCAGCAGUGGGGAAUAUUGGACAAUGGGCGCAAGCCUGAUCCAGCCAUACCGCGUGUGUGAAGAAGGCCUUAGGGUUGUAAAGCACUUUCAGAAGGGAGGAAAGGUNNAUGUUUAAUACGCA
rnacentral:rRNA from 1 species